GUCGAGGAUCUUCGGCAAUGGGCGCAAGCCUGACCGAGCGACGCCGCGUGUGCGAUGAAGGCCUUCGGGUUGUAAAGCACUGUCGAGGGGGAGGAAAGCCGGGCAACCGGUCUGACCUAUCCCUGGAGGAAGCACGGGCUAAGUUCGUGCCAGCAGCCGCGGUAAGACGAACCGUGCAAACGUUGUUCGGAUUCACUGGGCUUAAAGGGCGCGUAGGCGGUUUGCCAAGUCAGGGGUGAAAUCCCCCGGCCCAACCGGGGAAGGGCCCCUGAUACUGGUAAUCUGGAGGAAGGUAGGGGCAGAUGGAACUUCCGGUGGAGCGGUGAAAUGCGUAGAUAUCGGAAGGAACGCCGGUGGCGAAAGCGAUCUGCUGGACCUUUACUGACGCUGAGGCGCGAAAGCCAGGGGAGCAAACGGGAUUAGAUACCCUAGUAGUCC
rnacentral:rRNA from 1 species